AGCCAAAAGCUGAAGCUAUUAAGUAGAGAUACUCUUUAUAUUGUACACAGAUCAAGAUUCUAUUUUGUGUCGAAUCUAUGAUUAUUAUUCUUAACAUGUCCUGACAUGUGACAGGCACUACUAGCAUGUGGCAAGGAUCCAAUACAAUCACAAAAACCUAUAUAUUUAUUCGCAACUAAUAUAUAAAGUAAAUGCGCAAUCUGUACACUACUUCACGUACUAGAC
rnacentral:lncRNA from 1 species